rnacentral:rRNA from 1 species
CCAAUAGCGUAUAUUAAAGUUGUUGCAGUUAAAAAGCUCGUAGUUGAAUUUCGAGAUCGGCUUACUGGUCGUGCUUUUGUACGUACUGGUAUAAUCGGUUUCUCCUUUCUGACGAACUUUAAUGCCAUUAAUUUGGUGUUUUAGGAAAUCAGGACUGUUACUUUGAAAAAAUUAGAGUGUUUAAAGCAGGCUCACGCUUGAAUACAUUAGCAUGGAAUAA